GCAUCUAAAAGCUGCGGGAUUGUAGCUCUCGAGGACUGGGAUUGGGCACCCCUGCUUUAGACUCUUGGUAAGAUGCUUCAGUUUUCACUUGUUUGCAUUUACUGUACUAGCAACAUUUCAUUAGGGCUGGAGUCUAUCACACCUGUCACAGGGUAAGAGGCAGGGUACACCUGGGACAAGUUGCCAGCUCACAACAGCUUUAAUAUAUAUCUGUUUAAUCUGGAUAUUGGCAAAAGCACUACAAAAGAAACCUUCAUCUGUGCAGCUACCUCUCUCAGCAUCCCAGCAGAGGAGACAUAGUUGCUGCAUUGGAAUGAAGACUUCUAUUUGACAUUGAUGCACCUUUGUGGUAUUAUAUGCAAAUUGACUGGGAUAAAGGCGGAGGCUGUUUGAUGUGCAAAUGAUGAAUUUGGGGCACUGAAAAUGUGCAUACCACUGCUUUUCUGUUAAUUGCCUUCCCCGUGGAGUCCUGAAAGUUUAUUAGAAAAAGAAUGAAUGUUAGCAUACAGAGAACAGUUUUUGGAUAUCACACUUUAAACCAGUGAAGGAUGUAGUUUAUUCAAAAUCACAACUCUGAAUAAAAUCAUAUGCUGUAAUUUCAGAGUUUUCCUUUUUUUUUUUUUUUUUUGUCAACCAGAGUCCAUGUCUUACAGUCACAUGGGGGGAAGGCUUUUAGCCUUUUUUUGUAUUGUUACAGUAAAUGUAGCCAGUGUUAAAAGAAACGAGUUUGUUUUUUGUACUGGUUCAAACUGCAGUGUGAGCC
ensembl:lncRNA